rnacentral:rRNA from 1 species
AAUUUUGGACAAUGGGGGAAACCCUGAUCCAGCCAUCCCGCGUGUAUGAUGAAGGCCUUCGGGUUGUAAAGUACUUUUGGCAGAGAAGAAAAGGCAUCCCCUAAUACGGGAUGCUGCUGACGGUAUCUGCAGAAUAUGCACCGGCUAACUACGUGCCAGCAGCCGCGGUAAUACGUAGGGUUCAAGCGUUAAGCGGAAUUACUGGGCGUAAAGCGUGUUGAGGCGGUUCGGAAAGAAAGAAGUGGAAUCCCAAGGGUCAACCUUUGAACUGGAUUUUUAACUGCCGAAGCUGGGUAUUGCAGGGGGGGGUAAAAUUCCACGUGUUACAGUGAAAAGGGUAGAUAUUGUGGAGAAUACCGAUGGCGAAGGCAGCCCCCUGGGAUAAUACUGACGCUCAGACACGAGAGCGUGGGGAGCAAACAGG